rnacentral:rRNA from 1 species
GAUGAACGCUAGCGGCAGGCCUAAUACAUGCAAGUCGGACGGGAUUGGAGAGCUUGCUUUCCAUGAGAGUGGCGCACGGGUGCGUAACACGUAUGUAACCUACCCUUAUCAGGGGGAUAGCCUCUCGAAAGAGAGAUUAAGCCCGCAUAACAUGAAGACACAGCAUUGUGAUUUCAUCAAAUAUUUAUAGGAUAAGGAUGGGCAUGCGGAACAUUAGCUAGUUGGUAAGGUAACGGCUUACCAAGGCUACGAUGUUUAGGGGAUCUGAGAGGAUGACCCCCCACACUGGUACUGAGACACGGACCAGACUCCUACGGGAGGCAGCAGUAAGGAAUAUUGGUCAAUGGGCGGAAGCCUGAACCAGCCAUGCCGCGUGCAGGAAGACGGCCCUACGGGUUGUAAACUGCUUUUGCAGGGGAAUAAACCCCCGUAUGUAUACGGGGUUGAAUGUACUCUGAGAAUAAGGAUCGGCUAACUCCGUGCCAGCAGCCGCGGUAAUACGGAGGAUCCGAGCGUUAUCCGGAUUUAUUGGGUUUAAAGGGUGCGUAGGCGGCUUAUUAAGUCAUGGGUGAAAGACGGUAGCUUAACUAUCGCAGUGCCCUUGAUACUGAUG